rnacentral:ncRNA from 1 species
UUGUAAAGAUAUGUUGAGUUGUAGGACUCUAACUUUACUAAAAUGUUUAGAAAAGGCAUAUUGAAGAA